rnacentral:rRNA from 1 species
GAUGAACGCUGGCGGCGUGCCUAAUACAUGCAAGUCGAGCGAACAGACGAGGAGCUUGCUCCUCUGACGUUAGCGGCGGACGGGUGAGUAACACGUGGAUAACCUACCUAUAAGACUGGGAUAACUUCGGGAAACCGGAGCUAAUACCGGAUAAUAUAUUGAACCGCAUGGUUCAAUAGUGAAAGACGGUUUUGCUGUCACUUAUAGAUGGGUCCGCGCCGCAUUAGCUAGUUGGUAAGGUAACGGCUUACCAAGGCAACGAUGCGUAGCCGACCUGAGAGGGUGAUCGGCCACACUGGAACUGAGACACGGUCCAGACUCCUACGGGAGGCAGCAGUAGGGAAUCUUCCGCAAUGGGCGAAAGCCUGACGGAGCAACGCCGCGUGAGUGAUGAAGGUCUUCGGAUCGUAAAACUCUGUUAUUAGGGAAGAACAAAUGUGUAAGUAACUAUGCACGCCUUGACUGUACCUAAUCAGAAAGCCACGGCUAACUACGUG